rnacentral:rRNA from 1 species
AUUGAACGCUGGCGGCAGGCCUAACACAUGCAAGUCGAGCGGAUGAAGGGAGCUUUCUCCUGGAUUCAGCGGCGGACGGGUGAGUAAUGCCUAGGAAUCUGCCUGGUAGUGGGGGAUAACGUCCGGAAACGGGCGCUAAUACCGCCUACGUCCUGAGGGAGAAAGUGGGGGAUCUUCGGACCUCACGCGAGCAGAUGAGCCUAGGUCGGGUUAGCUAGUUGGUGGGGUAAAGGGCUACCAAGGCGACGAUCCGUAACUGGUCUGAGAGGAUGAUCAGUCACACGAGAACUGAGACACGGUCAAGACUCCUAAGAGACGCAGCAGUGGGGAAUAGUAGACAAUGGGCGAGAACCUGACACAGCCAGGCGGCGUGUGUGAAGGAAGUCUUCGGAUUGUGAAGCACUUUAAGGGGGGAGAAAGGGCAGUCAGUUGAUACCUUGCUGUUUUGACGGUACCAACAGAAGAAGCACCGGCUAACUUCGUG